CCUACGGGAGGCAUCAGUAGGGAAUCUUCCACAAUGGGCGAAAGCCUGAUGGAGCAACGCCGCGUGGGUGAAGAAGGUCUUCGGAUCGUAAAACCCUGUUGUUAGAGAAGAAAGUGCGUGAGAGUAACUGUUCACGUUUCGACGGUAUCUAACCAGAAAGCCACGGCUAACUACGUGCCAGCAGCCGCGGUAAUACGUAGGGGGCAAGCGUUAUCCGGAUUUAUUGGGCGUAAAGGGAACGCAGGCGGUCUUUUAAGUCUGAUGUGAAAGCCUUCGGCUUAACCGGAGUAGUGCAUUGGAAACUGGGAGACUUGAGUGCAGAAGAGGAGAGUGGAACUCGAUGUGUAGCGGUGAAAGGCGUAGAUAUAUGGAAGAACACCAGGGGCGAAAGCGGCUCUCUGGUCUGUAACUGACGCUGAGGUUCGAAAGCGUGGGUAGCAAACAGGAUUAGAUACCCUAGUAGUC
rnacentral:rRNA from 1 species